UUUAAAAGAAGCUUAUCAGUAUUUUGUUGUUAACAAAAAGAAGAAAAUAAAAAAUUUUCCUUUUAAAU
rnacentral:tRNA from 1 species